UCCCUGUCCCUGAAUGACAUUUUGGCUCAAAUUUGCUCUAACUGCUGCUUCUUCUCUGGUUAUUAAACUGUGUGAAAUGCCCACCCCCUUUCUCCCUCUCUCCCUCCCUCCCUCUGCAAACAGCUGCCUCAUUCACCUUCCGUCACAACACCAUUGGACAUAUUGGGUUCCAGAUGUGUGACCUCCUGGGGAGCAGGUGGCUGUUGAACUUGGUGGUCUUUCCCGAGGGUGGGGCAGAAGGGGUCACCCUGGAGUUCAAGGAGCGCCAGCCGUGAUGGGCUGUGCUGUGCCGGGUCUGUCUCCAUUUGGCAAGCAGUGGGAACCAUGGCUUUGGAACAUUCUGCUUCUACCUGGACUCAGUUGUGGGAACGUCCUCAAGCCUUGGAUUUGUGUCAUCAGGGAUCCGCAGACAGACAGGUAGAGGAGGAGAAGGCACAGGGAGCUUUCCCUUGCUUGGGCCAGAGAAGUCUAGCUCCCGUUCGUGAGACUCCAAGAUAACCCUGCAUCUCGGUCACUUCAAGACUCAACUAAUCUAAAGUCACCUCCAUUUACCCCAAGGAUGACCAUGCAGAUCUUAGCAUAAAAUGAAUUCUGACCCUCUUUAAUAUUUUAAAGACCUUUUAGUGCCUUUUAAAAAAAGCAGAAGGUGGUUGCAACACUGUAGUUCCUGAUGGGGUGCCAGAGUGGGCCCCAAGGACACUUGCUGUGGGAGGAGGCUCCCUGGAGAGGGCAGAUGUAGCCCUGGCGUUCCCAGCCAUGUGGCCACUCUUCACCUCACUCUCUCCCUUUCUACAUGGAGAAAACAGUGGUACCACCAACCUCAGAACUGUUAAUAUCGACAACUUGGACUUCGUGAGUGACGCAUGGUGCCUGCACGGCGCUCUCACAACCGCCAAAACUACAAGCAGAAUAAAAGGUGUUUGUGUGGGAUACCUGAGGGACGGGGGAGCUACCCUCUGGGGAUGCAGACCUGCUACAAGCAAGACGCACUGCACACCAGACACCCAGCACGCUCAGAAACAAAAGAAGGAUGGAGGCCCACUGGACACACAAAGAAGACCAAACUGCGUGAGAAAGAAAUAUGAGAACAAUUAACCCCAUAGGGAAAAUAAAUAUUUCAGAGAGAAGAUAA